CCCUAAUUGCUCCGUGGGUAAAGAAUCUGCCUGCAAUGCAGGAGAUGCAGGUUCGAUCCCUGUGUCAGGAA
rnacentral:tRNA from 1 species